CAGGCCUAACACAUGCAAGUCGAACGGUAACAGGGAGCUUGCUCCGCUGACGAGUGGCGAACGGGUGAGUAAUGUAUCGGAACGUACCAUUCAGUGGGGGAUAACGUAGCGAAAGUUACGCUAAUACCGCAUAUUCUGUGCGCAGGAAAGCAGGGGAUCGCAAGACCUUGCGCUGAUUGAGCGGCCGAUAUCAGAUUAGCUAGUUGGUGAGGUAAAAGCUCACCAAGGCGACGAUCUGUAGCGGGUCUGAGAGGAUGAUCCGCCACACUGGAACUGAGACACGGUCCAGACUCCUACGGGAGGCAGCAGUGGGGAAUUUUGGACAAUGGGGGCAACCCUGAUCCAGCCAUGCCGCGUGAGUNAAGAAGGCCUUCGGGUUGUAAAGCUCUUUCAGCCGGGAAGAAAAUGCAUGGGUUAAUACCCUGUGCAGAUGACGGUACCGGAAUAAGAAGCACCGGCUAACUACGUGCCAGCAGCCGCGGUAAUACGUAGGGUGCGAGCGUUAAUCGGAAUUACUGGGCGUAAAGCGUGCGCAGGCGGUUUUGUAAGACAGGCGUGAAAUCCCCGGGCUUAACCUGGGAACUGCGUUUGUGACUGCAAGACUAGAGUACGGCAGAGGGGGGUGGAAUUCCACGUGUAGCAGUGAAAUGCGUAGAGAUGUGGAGGAACACCAAUGGCGAAGGCAGCCCCCUGGGUCGAUACUGACGCUCAUGCACGAAAGCGUGGGUAGCAAACAGGAUUAGAUACCCUGGUAGUCCACGCCCUAAACGAUGUCAACUAGGUGUUGGGAGGGUAAAACCUUUUAGUACCGUAGCUAACGCGAGAAGUUGACCGCCUGGGGAGUACGGCCGCAAGGUUAAAACUCAAAGGAAUUGACGGGGACCGCACAAGCGGUGGAUGAUGUGGAUUAAUUCGAUGCAACGCGAAAAACCUUACCUACCCUUGACAUGUCAGGAACUUUCCAGAGAUGGAUUGGUGCCCGAAAGGGAGCCUGAACACAGGUGCUGCAUGGCUGUCGUCAGCUCGUGUCGUGAGAUGUUGGGUUAAGUCCCGCAACGAGCGCAACCCUUGUCGUUAAUUGCCAUCAUUUAGUUGGGCACUUUAACGAGACUGCCGGUGACAAACCGGAGGAAGGUGGGGAUGACGUCAAGUCCUCAUGGCCCUUAUGGGUAGGGCUUCACACGUCAUACAAUGGUCGGUACAAAGGGUCGCCAACCCGCGAGGGGGAGCCAAUCCCAUAAAGCCGAUCGUAGUCCGGAUUGUAGGCUGCAACUCGCCUGCAUGAAGUCGGAAUCGCUAGUAAUCGUGGAUCAGCAUGUCACGGUGAAUACGUUCCCGGGUCUUGUACACACCGCCCGUC
rnacentral:rRNA from 1 species